rnacentral:rRNA from 1 species
UACGUAGGGGGCAAGCGUUGUCCGGAUUUAUUGGGCGUAAAGAGCGUGUAGGCGGCUUUGCAAGUCCGUUGUGAAAACUCGAGGCUCAACCUCGAGACGCCGGUGGAAACUGCAAAGCUAGAGUCCGGAAGAGGAGAGUGGAAUUCCUGGUGUAGCGGUGGAAUGCGCAGAUAUCAGGAGGAACACCAAUAGCGAAGGCAGCUCGCUGGGACGUUACUGACACUGAGGCGCGAAAGCGUGGGGAGCGAACAGG